GUAUUCAGAAUCUGCAGUAAAAUCUUGUCUGGGUCUGUUUUCCAUCUCGAUAUUUUGAGGGGUUUGUGGUGCCGUUGGUAAAAAACAAACACUUUCACGGAUCUCGCUGUCUUAUUAACAGGCCCGGUAAUAUUUUCAUAUUGUGGAUGUUUGCUGAAGUAUUUAUCACAUCAAAAAGUGUAGGGCAUUUCAGUCUGGGUGCCUUAUUUCUAUUUUUCGAUUUUCAAAAUUAAAUACAUUACGUAAAAUACGACCACAGACAGACACCACACCCGCUAGUUUCCUCCCGCUCUACGUACAUAAGAUUGAGUUGCUGAACUCCCUUGUGCUUCCAGACUCUGAGAAUGCAGGAAAGCCUGAAUUAACCACGAAAAAAUGAAAAUAAGUUUCUAGAUGCUUUAAGUGGAUAUGCAUAGGUGACCUAUUGGUGUGACACAAUGGAGACACUUGUCCUGCCUCUGGAGCUCUUCCAUGCUUGUCCCUCACAUCAAGAUGAGCAGCAUCCUCUCUGAAAAGACAACUAGUGAAGGAAUGCAAAGACCUCUGAACGAAAAGUAAAAUUCAUAAAAUAGAUCAAAGUGGUUUUAAAAGUAUGUAUAUAAAGAUAAUUGUAUAUCAUCUAAUAAAACCAUCUUUUACUUGA